rnacentral:rRNA from 1 species
UCAAGCUACUAAGGGCAUACGGUGGAUGCCUAGGCGCCAAGAGCCGAAGAAGGACGCGGUAAGCUGCGAAAAGCCACGGGGAACUGCAAGCAAGUAUUGAUCCGUGGAUAUCCGAAUGGGGAAACCCGGCCAUCGUCAUGGAUGGUCACCCGCAAGGGAGGGAACCUGGGGAACUGAAACAUCUAAGUACCCGGAGGAAGAGAAAUCAAACGAGAUGCCCACAGUAGCGGCGAGCGAAGAGGGCAGAGCCCAAACCGAGAAGCUCCGGCUUUUCGGGGUUGAGGACCGGCAGAAUCGAAGUCAGGCCUAGUUGAAUUACCUGGAAAGGUAAGCGAGAGAGGGUAAAAGCCCCGUAGACGAAAGGCAGAGCAGAGAGGCCGAGAUCCAGAGUACCACGAAGCACGAGGAAUUUUGUGGGAAGCAGGGGGGACCACCCUCCAAGGCUAAAAACUACUUGGCGACCGAUAGCGCAUAGUACCGUGAGGGAAAGGUGAAAAGAACCCCGGGAGGGGAGUGAAAUAGUACCUGAAACCGUAUGUCUACAAGCAGUCGAAGCGAAAGCGACGGCGUGCCUAUUGAAGAAUGAACCAACGAGUUAUCUGCACUAGCGAGGUUAAGUGGAAGACACGGAGCCGCAGCGAAAGCGAGUCUUAAGAGGGCGCUAGUUAGUGUAGGUAGACCCGAAACCGCAGUGAUCUACCCAUGUCCAGGUUGAAGCGCAGGUAAAAUUGCGUGGAGGACCGAACCGGUGAGCGUUGAAAAGCUUUCGGAUGAGAUGUGGGUAGGGGUGAAAUUCCAAUCGAACGCGGAGAUAGCUGGUUCUCCCCGAAAUAGCUUUAGGGCUAGCCUGAGGUAGUAAGUAUAGGCGGUAGAGCACUGAUCGGGCUAGGGGCCGUAAAGGUUACCGAACCCUGUCAAACUCCGAAUGGAUAUACUGUAGAGCCUUGGAGUCAGACUACGAGUGAUAAGAUCCGUGGUCAAAAGGGAAACAGCCCAGACCACCAGCUAAGGUCCCCAAUGUCGUACUAAGUGGAAAAGGAUGUGGGGUUUCAUAAACAACCAGGAUGUUGGCUCAGAAGCAGCCACCAUUUAAAGAGUGCGUAAUAGCUCACUGGUCGAGAGACCCUGCGCCGAAGAUUCCCGGGGCUAAAGUACGAAACCGAAGCUGUGGCUGUAUACGUAAAGUAUACGGGGUAGGGGAGCGUUCCCAUAGGGUAGAAGUCGAACUGGAAGGUUCGGUGGACUUGUGGGAAGUGAGAAUGUUGGUAUGAGUAGCGAAAAGAAAGGUGAGAAUCCUUUCCACCGAAAGCAUAAGGAUUCCUGAGCAACGAUCGUCGUCUCAGGGUAAGUCGGGACCUAAUCCGAGGCAGAGAGCGUAGGAGAUGGACAACUGGUUGAUAUUCCAGUACCGGUAGUAAUUGUUUGAGCAAUGGAGUGACACAGAAGGGCAGGCAAGCAUGCGAAUGGAAGAGCAUGUGUAAGCGUGUAGGGUGGUGCAUAGGCAAAUCCGUGCACUGAAAGCCUGAGGCGUGAUGCGGAGUGAGCAGAGAUGCGAGCGAAGUUGUUGACCCCACACUGUCGAGAAAAGCUUCUAGUGAGAGAGCUACCGCCCGUACCGUAAACCGACACAGGUAUGCGGGGAGAGAAUCCUAAGGUGCGCGGGAGAACCCUCGUUAAGGAACUCGGCAAAAUGUACCCGUAACUUCGGGAUAAGGGUAGCCACUGUUGUGAAGUCCCAUGCGGAUGGAGCAUAGAGUGGUCGCAGAGAAGAGGCCCAAGCGACUGUUUACCAUAAACACAGGUGCCUGCUAAAGCGAAAGCUGACGUAUAGGUGCUGACACCUGCCCAGUGCCGGAAGGUUAAGGAAGGAUGUUCGGAGUAAUCCAAAGCAUUCGACUGAAGCCCCGGUGAACGGCGGCCGUAACUAUAACGGUCCUAAGGUAGCGAAAUUCCUUGUCGGGUAAGUUCCGACCCGCACGAAAGGUGU